UACGGGGGGGGCAAGCGUUGUUCGGAAUUACUGGGCGUAAAGGGCUCGUAGGCGGCCAACUAAGUCGGACGUGAAAUCCCUCGGCUUAACCGGGGAACUGCGUCCGAUACUGGAUGGCUUGAGUUUGGGAGAGGGAUGCGGAAUUCCAGGUGUAGCGGUGAAAUGCGUAGAUAUCAAGAGGAACACCUGAGGUGAAGACGGGUUGCUGGGCUGACACUGACGCUGAGGCGCGAAAGCCAGGGGAGCAAACGGG
rnacentral:rRNA from 1 species